rnacentral:rRNA from 1 species
UACGUAGGGUGCGAGCGUUGUCCGGAAUUAUUGGGCGUAAAGGGCUCGUAGGCGGUCCAUCACGUCGGGAGUGAAAAGCUGGGGCUUAACCCCAGUCCUGCUUCCGAUACGGGUGGACUAGAGGUAGGCAGGGGAGAACGGAAUUCCUGGUGUAGCGGUGAAAUGCGCAGAUAUCAGGAGGAAUACCAGUGGCGCAGGCGGCGCUCUGGGUCACACCUGACACUGAGAUACGAAGGCAUGGGGAGCGAACGGG